GGGUCGAUGCCCGAGUGGCUAAAGGGGAGGGGCUGUAAACCCCUUAGCGGAAGCUUACCUUGGUUCGAAUCCAAGUCGGCCCA
rnacentral:tRNA from 1 species